rnacentral:misc_RNA from 1 species
GAUGAAGAACGUAGCGAAAUGCGAUAAGUAAUGUGAAUUGCAGAAUUCAGUGAAUCAUCGAAUCUUUGAACGCACAUUGCGCCCGCUAGUAUUCUGGCGGGCAUGCCUGUCCGAGCGUCAUUUCAACCCUCAAGCCCCCGGGCUUGGUGUUGGGGAUCGGCGAGCCUCCGCGCCCGCCGUCCCCUAAUCUAGUGGCGGUCUCGCUGUAGCUUCCUCUGCGUAGUAGCACACCUCGCACUGGGAAACAGCGCGGCCACGCCGUUAAACCCCCAACUUCUGAACGUUUGACCUCGGAUCAGGUAGGAAUACCCGCUGAACUUAAGCAUAUCAAUAAGCGGAGGA